rnacentral:rRNA from 1 species
CCGCGCAAGUCCAUCGGGAAAUCCACCUGCUCAACAGGUGGGCGCCCGGUAGAAACUGCGUGGCUUGGGACCGGAAGGCGCGACGGGUACGUCCGGGGUAGGAGUGAAAUCCCGUAAUCCUGGACGGACCGCCGAUGGCGAAAGCACGUCGCGAGAACGGAUCCGACAGUGAGGGACGAAAGCCAGGGUCUCGAACCGGAUUAGAUACCCGGGUAGUCCUGGCCGCAAACAAUGUCUGCUAGGUGUGGCUCCCACUACGAGUGGGUGCUGUGCCGUAGGGAAGCCGCUAAGCAGACCGCCUGGGAAGUACGUCCGCAAGGAUGAAACUUAAAGGAAUUGGCGGGGGAGCACUACAACCGGAGGAGCCUGCGGUUUAAUUGGACUCAACGCCGGACAUCUCACCAGCAUCGACUGUAAUAAUGACGAUCAGGUUGAUGACCUUAUCCGAGUUUCAGAGAGGAGGUGCAUGGCCGCCGUCAGCUCGUACCGUGAGGCGUCCUGUUAAGUCAGGCAACGAGCGAGACCCGCACUCUUACUUGCCAGCAGUACCGCGAGGUAGCUGGGGACAGUAGGAGGACCGCCGUGGCUAACACGGAGGAAGGAACGGGCAACGGUAGGUCAGUAUGCCCCGAAUGUGCUGGGCAACACGCGGGCUACAAUGGUCGAGACAAAGGGUUCCUACUCCGAAAGGAGACGGUAAUCUCAGAAACUCGAUCGUAGUUCGGAUUGUGGGCU